AUUGAACGCUGGCGGCCGGCUUAACACAUGCAAGUCGAACGAGUGGCGGACGGGUGAGUAGUGCUUGGGAAUCUGGCUUAUCGAGGGGGAUAACGACGCGAAACUGUCGCUAAUUACGCGUACUAUAGGAUGCGCCCAAGGGGGAUUCGGUAGUUGGUGGGGGAGUGGCCUACCACGCCGACGACCGCUAGCUGGUCUGAGAGGAUGACCCGCCACACCGGGACUGAGACACGGCCCGGACUCCUACGCGAGGCAGCAGUGGGGAAUAUUGCGCAAUGGGGGCAACCUGACGCAGCCAUGCCGCGUGAAUGAAGAAGGCCUUCGGGUUGUAAAGUUCUUUCGGUGACGAGGCGUUAAUCACAGAAGAAGCACCGGCUAACUCCGUGCCAGCCGCCGCGGUAAUUC
rnacentral:rRNA from 1 species